GUGCUCGCUUCGACAGCACAUAUACUAAAAUUAGAACAGUGCAGAGAUUAGCAUGACUCCUGCGCAAGGAUGACAUGCAGAUUCGUGAAGCUUUCCAUAUUUUU